ACCAUGAGAUGUUUUCUACUGUAGAAACUUUCUCAUUAGAAAUAGCCCAUUUAUACAGGGGACUGGCUAAUGUUUUUCUAUGAGUAUCAUUAGCCAGUGUCUCAAAGUGGUGAAGAGUAAGUAUAUAGCAUCUUUCAAAAGACUGCAACCUGGAACAAGGAGAGACAAAGGGAAGGAGGAGUCUGGAGCCAUAUUGAAGAUGAAAUUGAGAUAUGGACUAGGUGGUGGAUCGUUUUUAUAAGAGGACAUAAAAGAGGAUGCUAAAGCUAAUUGCCACAAUCAGAACUCAAAGACCUAGCAAAUGCAAGGAUACAAUAAGAAGUCAGCAGUCUGCAACCCAGAAGAGGACCCUCACUGGAACCCAGGAAUGUUGGCACUCUGAACUUAGAUUUUCCAGCCUCUAGAAUGCCUUAUGCAAAUCCUGGAAGAUAUCAAUUCUGAGGGCUGGGGUGUAUCUUGAUCACCUUUGGAAUCUACCACUGCAUGGAGCACAGCACUUACCACCUAGUAGGUAAGCAACAAAUGCUUGCUUGUCAAUUGAUUUAUUCAGUAGACUCAGUGCUAUGUGUACAUUAAACACCUGGGGAGCUUUAAACAAUAAACGAGCAAACCAACAAAUGCUGCAUCAGCCUAGACCAACACAAUCCUGAUCUCUGGAUGUGGGAUCCCCGCACUGUUCUGUUUGUUUCCAAGUUUGGAAGAAACAUAAUUGAAUCAUUUUGAGGAAUUCCAAUCCCUGACAAGAUGCCAGUGCUAUUUUACAGCAAGAGUAGACGAGGAAGGCUAUACUACGUGGUCCUGGGCAAGUUAUUUAAAUUCUCUGUGCCUCAGUUUUCUGAACCGUAAGAUGGGAAGAAUAAUAGUAACUACCUCUGGAGGCUGUUGUAAAAGUUAAAUGAUCUGAUCUAUGUAAAGCACUUAGAACAGUACCUGGUAUAUAAGUGUGUGAUAAAUAAAAUCCAAUAUGAAGAAGAGGA
rnacentral:lncRNA from 1 species